CUCAAUUAAAUAAUUCAAUUUCUAAUUUAAUCUAACUAACCACCUAAUUCCUAAUAAAAUAAAUCUAACACCCCUUAAACGUUAUUAACCUACUAAGCAGAGUUUAGAGUAUAAACUCACCGGUGUAUCGCGAAACCGGUUCACCGCGACGACGACUCGACGGCGGCCGAAACCUUAAUUUUCGGCGGCGUCGACGAACUCUCGGACCGGGCCUAAAACGGGCCCGACAAAUCUCAGCCCAAAUCUGAGAUUUGUUUCCAACUUGGGCUGGGCUUCACUUGAUUCGCGGGCUGAACUUCGGUGGACUUGGGCUUCAAUUAACGCGGGCUUGGAAAGGCUGAGUUGAGCUUGAAUUCAAGUGGGCCUUAAGCUUGCAAUGGAAUUGGGCCUGAGCCUGAAUCAUUUGGGCUUUGCUGGGUUAAACAAAAUGGGCUUCUCUGGUUUCUUGGACGGGCCCAACUGCUGGGCCGUGAAAUCCAUUGGACUGAGCGCUGCCAACCGAAGCAGAAACGGAGCUGCAGGUCUUCGGGGCUUGCUGGCUUAGCUGGCGUCGAGCUGAAGGUGACGCUGGCGAAGACACAAACGAAAGAUGGAGCAGAGAAGCAGCUGGCGGUGGAGUCUUCGAGCGGAUGAAGUCCACGGCGUUAAUGGGCUGAAGAAAUCGAGCAAAGGGACUUCGGUGGUGGUGAGUCACGGACGGUGGUAGCUUCUGCCGUGAGCUGCUUCAA
rnacentral:lncRNA from 1 species